rnacentral:ribozyme from 13 species
AGAGAGAAGAAGAGAGAAGAAGAAGAGAGAAAACAAACAAAAAUUGGACAAAUUAUUUGAAUCUGAUGUUGAUUG